UAACUACUCCCUCUGUCCCAAAUUUCUUGUCUUAGAUUUGUCUAGAUACAGAUGUAUCUAAUACUAAAAUGUGACUUGAUACAUCCGUAUCUAGACAAAUCUAAGACAAGAAUUUUGGGACGGAGGGAGNCUC
rnacentral:pre_miRNA from 1 species